AGCUUGCAGGGAUGUGUGCGUUGGCUGGAGGGGAUGUCUGGAGGAGCUGGGAAGUAACCAGAUGACUGACAGCGAUUCAGGCUCGAUGCCUUAUGGAGGGGACAGGCGAACAGACCUGCUCCUUCCUUUGUGUUGCCAGUCAGGUCCUCCCUCUGCAGUCUUACACAGGAAGAAGAUUUAUAACAGCUGCAUGCAAUGCCAGUGUCUCAAAGAAACAGUAUCACGCCAUGUGGAGGAUUUUUGUUUGGGGUUUGUUUUCUCCACUGAAUUGGAAAGUUGCCUAACAAUGGCAGUAGUGCAAAGGCGAGAAACUGCUACAAACCCUACUUUGGUUCCACACAGAACACAUGGAAUGAAAAUUGAGAAAUGGAGCCAGAUGCUGCAGAGAGCUCAAGAUUUUUCAAAUGUGUGAAACCCCUCAGAGCAACUGAUCUCCUAGUUAUUUCUCAGCAAGGUACUCCAACAAGGGACACAUGAAAACCACUGAAAAAUAUUAUUUUGUCUACAUUCUUUCCAUCUUAAAAUCUGUUUAAAUCUGAAAAAUGUGCUACAUGGUCUCUCUACCAAUGCCCAAAAACAUCAGUGGGAGCCAGCUCAAAAAUCUGAAAAAAACCCAGAAUUUAAAAAACUCUACUGAAAAAAAAAUUAGACAUAGCCUUUAUUCAAUAGGUUAAAAAUAUCCAAAACUUAGCAUGAUCAAAAGUCUAGAGGAUAAAAGCUUUUGUUAGAUUCAGACACAUGGCCAUUGUUUCAUAUAGAAAUUAUCAAGGAAUAUUAAUUCAUACUGCUUCAGUUACAAGAUUUCUGUUUAAUCAUGUACAAUGCACAGAAGUAAACACACAAAACAUAGAUUUCAGUGUCUGGGAGCACCACCUCAUUCCUCAUGAUUUCUGAAAUUGAGGAAUGUAGCCUUCUGCAAAGCUCAUAGAAAUGAACUGCGGCUGGAAAGAUGGGAACAAGACACACAUCUCUGAGUUAUUCUUCAGGAUUCUUAAAACUGGAAUGCCAGAAUGACUGCUUCAGGUUCUCUCUUGGUAGAGGAAGGGAACCCUGAUGUAUCAUUUAUGCAAUAGCCAUGAGGUCCCCUACACCUUACCACACCCUGAAAAGUACAAGGGAAGCACAAUGGAUCAUAAUUUAUUUAAUAGUGGAUAACAUGGACUUUUAAACUAUUAGACAGCUCAAAGAACAUUUAUAAGAGAAGGCAGAAAACCCAUUAUUCAUAUCUCCAUGUAGUGGUUUGGUACCUUCUUGCAAAAAGUGACCAGCAUAUAAAAAUUGUGAAUUGCUGCCCAAAAGGCAGAUUCUUCCAUAAUUGAUCAUUAAUGUGUUUCUUGUACCUUCUUCUGAACAGCCAGUAUUGGCUGCUGUCAGGGGUAGAAUAAUCUAUUAGGCAAAUUGAUACCGAUCCAGAGUAAUGUGGCGAUUCCUAAAUGUUGUUUUUGCUAAACUGGAAACAGAAUAUUAAGUAUUUAUUUAAAGAGAAAGGAAAGCAGUUUUUAAUGGUAUCCUAUGGAGUUCACAGAUGAACAUGUUUGCUAUUAUUGCUAUUGUUCCUUUGUGGAUGCUCCUGAAGCUGAUUGUAAAGUCUAGUAAUUUUCCAUCCCCUGCCCUUGGCUGUACCUCUUGUGUUAUUUCAAACAAAAAAUGCAAAGCACUGACCCUCCAGUAACAGAAAGUCAUUUGGGAUGACAAAUUUUGUCAUCGUAUUGUUGUAAACACACAGUUUAAAAGUGUUAAAAUAGAUAUGCAAAUUGCAAUGAUUGUAUUCCUAAAUGUGCCUGCAGGAACAUCAGGUAGGUGCAAUCAAGGAAGAAAAAUGUUGUUGUUUUAGGGAUAGCACCUUGAAUUUAAAGAUAGGGCUGCAGCUGAGGGCUGCAGAAUGUAAAUUCACUUGUUAAACUGCUCAUUUAUAUAUAUUUAAAAACAGAGACUAUAAUUCAGAAAAGCACCACACAUAUUCUUAAGUGCCUUUUUACUGGAGAAGAGGGAAGGCUUUUCAUCACAUGCCUUCCAUGAGUGACGGCGGUCAGUGAGAAGAGUGCUGCAGUGAGAAAAGUGUACUGGCACAGCUGAGGUAUUUGACUGAAUUGAAGCAGCUAUGCUGGCAGCUACUCUCAGUAUAGACAUACAUCCUUUCCAUUUAUAUAACUAAUUUCUUUUAUAGGAUGUGGCUUAGCUAAUUGUACAACACACAUGCAUCCAAUCUCAUUGCAGUUGUACAGAUAGAGUAGCAGCUUUGACCUAACAAAGAGCUGUAAGAAGCCUUUUCUCUAACAGUUUGCUAGGUGAGGAGAUUUCGAGAACUAGAAACAAAGGAAUAAAAGCAGAUAAAUAUAAAUAUGCUGUUAUUUA
rnacentral:lncRNA from 1 species